rnacentral:rRNA from 1 species
GGAAUUUUCCGCAAUGGGCGAAAGCCUGACGGAGCAACGCCGCGUGAGGGAUGAAGGCCUCUGGGCUGUAAACCUCUUUUAUCAAGGAAGAAGAUCUGACGGUACUUGAUGAACAAGCCACGGCUAAUUCCGUGCCAGCAGCCGCGGUAAUACGGGAGUGGCAAGCGUUAUCCGGAAUUAUUGGGCGUAAAGCGUCCGCAGGCGGUUUUGUAAGUCUGUUGUUAAAGCGUGGAGCUUAACUCCAUUUCAGCAAUGGAAACUGCAAGACUAGAGUGUGGUAGGGGCAGAGGGAAUUCCCGGUGUAGCGGUGAAAUGCGUAGAUAUCGGGAAGAACACCAGUGGCGAAGGCGCUCUGCUGGGCCAUAACUGACGCUCAUGGACGAAAGCCAGGGGAGCGAAAGGGAUUAGAUACCCCAGUAGUC